rnacentral:rRNA from 1 species
CUACGGGCGGCACCAGUGGGGAAUAUUGCACAAUGGAGGAAACUCUGAUGCAGCAACGCCGCGUGGAGGAUGACACUUUUCGGAGCGUAAACUCCUUUUAUACAGGAAGAAGAUGACGGUACUAUAUGAAUAAGCGCCGGCUAACUCCGUGCCAGCAGCCGCGGUAAUACGGAGGGCGCAAGCGUUACUCGGAAUCACUGGGCGUAAAGAGCGUGUAGGCGGAUUAAAAAGUCAGAAGUGAAAUCCUAUAGCUUAACUAUAGAACUGCUUCUGAAACUCUUAAUCUAGAAUAUGGGAGAGGUAGAUGGAAUUUCUGGUGUAGGGGUAAAAUCCGUAGAGAUCAGAAGGAAUACCGAUUGCGAAGGCGAUCUACUAGAACAUUAUUGACGCUGAGACGCGAAAGCGGGGGGAGCAAACAGGAUUAGAUACCCCCGUAGUC